UUUAAUUAGUUAUUCUCGUGCUCAGACAGGCAGAGUCUGCUUAGAAAGCUGAGAGAAUGUCUAGCAAUGGCUGCUGCAAGUACUCGUGCGAAACUGCGAGCGAGACCCUGGAAUGGAUCAACGCCAUCGUCGACUUCAUAAGACCUUACUCUUUCUUAACGGACGCUCACGUCGUCAAUUUCUUCAAGGAUCGAAUGUGGGAAGCUAUUGAUAAGGAAUGGAUGGAUUGCUUGCGGAAAGAAGCAGUGGAAAAUCUUCUCCAAAUACCUGGUGGAGUGGUCCAGGAUCAUUGGCCUGCUUCUCUUAAGAAAUUCAUUGUUACUUUGGGCUCUCUCGUGCUUCCUCGACAACAACAAGACUUGCAGACGGUAUUACCUGGCAUGAACAUGACUUCACUCAAUAGCGUUCUCUCUACGGGCAUGAAUUGGAAGAAAAAACAUGAAGUAGAAGUCCUUUCUGCUGUUGUUGAUUCAAUCGCUAACAGUGUCGGAGCCAAUGCAAUUAUUGAUGUUGGCUCGGGUCAGGGGUAUCUUGCACAAGUACUUUCCUUUCACUACCAACAUGCGGUAGUUGCAAUUGAUGCAUGUUCUCAUCAUGGAAGGGUUACUGAUGCACGUGCAGAACAAAUCAAGAAAUAUUAUGCUGCUCAGAUGCGUAAAUCUGUAUCAGGAAACAGGAGUUUGACUGUGCCUAAGACAGUCACAUGCAAUGUGAUGUCUAUUGACAUGUUGAAAGCUUUGGCUGACACACCACUGCAUAAAGAUAAUGUCUCUUUACUGCAAUCUUCCUGCAAUGCAGACAACGAAAGUUCAUUGGUUCUUGCUGGGCUUCAUGCUUGCGGAGAUCUUUCAGUAACAAUGCUCAAGACCUUUAUGGAGUGCAAAGAAGUUAAAGCAGUUGUUAGCGUCGGCUGCUGUUACAACCUAUUAUCUGAAGAGGGUUUCAACCAUGUUGGUUCUCAAUGUGGUUUUCCAAUGAGUUGUGGUGUUAUAUCUGCUGGCAUUUCACUUGGAAAAAGUUCGCGGGACCUAGCAUGUCAGAGUGCGGAGAGGUGGAAAUGCCUCGAAAAUGAUGCUGGUCUCCAUAAUUUUGAGUUGCAUGCUUUCCGCGCUGCAUUUCAGAUGGUAUGCGGUUCUCAGUGUAUACUAUCCCGAAGUCAUGAGUACAAGUCCAUCAAUUGGGCGUCAAGGGAAGGCAUUACGUCGCCGACAACAGAGGGUUGUCCCAAACUCCUCGCUGCACCAUAAAGAAAACAAAUGUUCCUUGUCAGAAAUAAACUCUCAUAUGACAGGAAGUUGCUCUCACAAAAAAUCAACAGAGCCGGAAACAGAUGACAGUUUUGACAUGGUGUUAGAGACAACAUCCAUAACUAAUGAAAACUCCUCCAAUAAGGCCACCAAAUGUGAGAGGAGCGAAUUCGUCGGCAACUAUACACUUUUUCAGAAAUAUUGCUUAUCGGGGUUAUGUCGCCUUGGUCUUGAGCCUCUGAAGGAAACUGAUAUCCAUGGAAUAUGGAAGCAAGUUGAAUCUUUUGCUGAACUUAUUGGACCUUAUUGGUCGCUUCGAGCUGCUUUUGGGCCUCUUUUAGAAACUUUUCUUUUGCUUGAUAGAUUGUUGUUCCUCCAAGAGCAAGGCAGUUCAAUUGAAGCAGUCAUGUUACCUAUUUUCAAUCCCGCAUUGUCCCCAAGGAAUGUGGCCAUUAUUGCUAAGAAGUUGACGCAAAUGUGACUGUGGCAUGCCAUAUGAAACUUGUGGUACCAAUUCGUUGAUUGCGAAUUUCAAGGGAUUUGAGAGGACUUUGCAACUGUGUAUAUUCUGUAGCAACAUAUCCGCAUGCGCCCUCGCCCACUCAAUACAGUCUAGUCAACAAGUCACUGGUAGGCAUGCUGGAAUGAGAAAGACAGAUUAUUUGGCUGCAUUCAUUUUGUCACCUACUACCUAUUUUGACCCAAUUCCUGAAUGAUCACUACUCUUAAAAGAUCCAGGGUACUAAGAAACUUAAGAGUGAAUAUCCCUGUUGAUACCUAUGAGAUAAUUUUGUCUUUUUUUAUAAUGAGGUUAACGUGGUAAUUAUCUGUUGAAGAAAGCUCCGUCGGCAGCGUUGCCAAGGAGAAGGACAAAUAAAGAUUUGAAGCAAGGUGUGUGGAAAGUGGAGAGCCUCUCAUUGCAUUAGAGCACAAAGUUUCACAAUUCAAUGGUUUAGUUCUAAUGGAAUAAGCAAGCCUGGGUUGUCUAUUUUAAGGUAUUGUCGUUUUAGCAACACUUGGGUGCCAUUGAGAUGGGACACGUGUCAAUGCUUUGACUGGUCUUUGUCCUUUUGAGAGUAGGACAUCAACUUCAUGUUCCUUAGACUGGAUGGUCACAACCCACAACACUCUAAUGGGGUUUUUCAGAUAACGCUUCCUUUUUGUUGCAAGUAAAACGACAAGAAAAGUAGCCAUCGAAUGGAACUUGGUCCAAGUAUCACUCAUGUUGAACACAACUCUUUGGAAUGAAGAUGAUGUCUUAUGUUUCAUUCUGGCCCAUGAAGGUGUUAAUCGUUACAAAAGUUGUUGUGGACUUGGACAUGACUUGUGAAUGAAUGAUUGUCAAGGGGGUGUCUUGCGUUUGGCAUUUGUGUGGUACGAUAGAAAUUGUGGUCUAAGCACUAUACUUUUACGAGAGAAACUUACAUGUCACGAGGUGUGCACUCAUGUCACAUGCUGAGAGAGAUAUAUACAAAUAAGUAUACACCCGAUGACCCAAACUGGUAUGAUUGUAAUGAAAUAAAACCAUUUGCUUA